rnacentral:rRNA from 1 species
CUACGGGAGGCACCAGUCGAGAAUCUUCGGCAAUGGACGAAAGUCUGACCGAGCGACGCCGCGUGCGGGAUGGAGGCCUUCGGGUUGUAAACCGCUGUCAGAGGGAAGGAAAUUUUGACCGAUCCUCAAAGGAAGUACGGGCUAAGUUCGUGCCAGCAGCCGCGGUAAGACGAACCGUACAAACGUUAUUCGGAAUCACUGGGCUUAAAGGGUGCGUAGGUGGUCUAUUAAGUUGGGUGUGAAAUCCCUCGGCUCAACCGAGGAACUGCGCUCAAUACUGGUAGACUUGAGGGAGAUAGAGGCGAGCGGAACUGAUGGUGGAGCGGUGAAAUGCGUUGAUAUCAUCGGGAACACCUGUGGCGAAAGCGGCUCACUGGAUCUCUUCUGACACUGAGGCACGAAAGCUAGGGGAGCGAACGGGAUUAGAUACCCGCGUAGUC